ACACGGAGGGCGCAAGCGUUGCUCGGAAUCACUGGGCGUAAAGCGGGUGUAGGCGGUCUAGCAAGUCAGAUGUGAAAGCCCACGGCUCAACCGUGGAAGUGCAUCUGAAACUGCUAGACUUGAGUGCCGGAGAGGGCAGUGGAAUUCCUGGUGUAGGGGUGAACUCCGUAGAUAUCAGGAGGAACACCGGUGGCGAAGGCGACUUCCUGGACGGCCACUGACGCUGAGACCCGAAAGCGUGGGGAGCAAACAGGAUUAGAAACCCCAGUAGUCC
rnacentral:rRNA from 1 species